rnacentral:rRNA from 1 species
AUUGAACGCUGGCGGCAGGCUUAACACAUGCAAGUCGAGCGGAGUGAUGGUGCUUGCACUAUCACUUAGCGGCGGACGGGUGAGUAAUGCUUAGGAAUCUGCCUAUUAGUGGGGGACAACAUCUCGAAAGGGAUGCUAAUACCGCAUACGUCCUACGGGAGAAAGCAGGGGAUCACUUGUGACCUUGCGCUAAUAGAUGAGCCUAAGUCGGAUUAGCUAGUUGGUGGGGUAAAGGCCUACCAAGGCGACGAUCUGUAGCGGGUCUGAGAGGAUGAUCCGCAACAUUGGGACUGAGAAACGGCCCAGACUCCUACGGGAGGCAGCAGUGGGGAAUAUUGGACAAUGGGGGGAACCCUGAUCCAGCCAUGCCGCGUGUGUGGAGAAGGCCUUAUGGUUGUAAAGCACUUUAAGCGAGGAGGAGGCUCUUUUGGUUAAUACCCAAGAUGAGUGGACGUUACUCGCAGAAUAAGCACCGGCUAACUCUGUGCCAGCAGCCGCCGUAA